rnacentral:lncRNA from 1 species
CACCUGGGGCGGCGAGGUCCUCUGGCGCCGCCUUGUGGACAUCUGCUCGAACAGCAAGUCCCAGGGGUUCCUCCUCGCUCUGGCUCAGCAGGCCCCCGGGCUGCCUGGGGCCUGGGCCCUGGGCCCGGGGCCCGGGGCUGGGUGGGUUCUCUCCCUCCCCUUGAGGGAACUCCCAAGAAGAACCUGUCCAAGGGGGCUCCUUCUCGCUCAGAGGCUCUCAGAGCCCUCAGGCCCACCUGCCCCAAGCCCCUCCGUUCCACCCCCACCCCCCGUCAGCUCCGGACCCAUCCUGUCAGGACAGGGUGGCCCUUGCUCAGACGGGCCUGCCCUGGGCUAUGGAGGGCCCCGCGCGCGUGUGUGUAUAUAUGGAGCUCUUGCUCUUGCCUUGCGUUUCCAAGUGGUAUUCCUUCGGUCGUCCAAUAAUAAACUCGUGAUUCUUUCCCUUCUGGUUUCGUUCUGGCUUCCUUGCUUCCUUCCUUCCUGUCCCCGUCCCUGUCCCUGUCCCUGUCUCUCCUUCCCUCGUUCUCUCUUGCUUUAUGGACCCCACCUGAGGCGAGCGUCGGUCGCCCGCCCUCGAGGGUCGGCCAGCCACAGAGGGUGCCAAGCUGGCCCCAGCGACCCAGACAGACCUUUUCCCCAGGGAGCCUGGAGGGACCUCCGGGAGGUCUUUCCUGCUCUCGUGCUACCGGCCUGCGAUGGCCCGAGCUGGCUCGAGAGCAGCUCUUCAUACCAGGUGUUUGGCCAGAACCAAAGCGGCUCACAGGGAAAGCCAAAGGCGGAGGUUCAGGAGACCUCCUGGGAGAAGGCACACCGGGAGGGCGCGGCGGCUCACCCCGCUCUCACCUCUGUCCCGCCUUCCCUGCACGACGCGCAGUCACCCGACCCGGGCCCCAAAGCCCAGGUCGGGAUGGGGCUUCCCUAUUCCCAGCUCAACCACGGAAACAACCCAGCCCCCAGGAAAUAAGUGAGUAAAGAAGCACAUAAACACACCCGACACCCCGUCGAAAAAUGGACCCGGGGCCUGAGGAGGCAAAAUGGACCCGGGGCCUGAGGAGGCAUUUCCCUCCACCCGAUAUCCAGAGGGCACCAGGCCCCGCAAAACCCUCCCACCCUCACGCAUCCGGAGAGACACGCAGA